rnacentral:rRNA from 1 species
GACGAACGCUGGCGGCGUGCUUAACACAUGCAAGUCGAACGGAAAGGCCCUGCUUGCAGGGUACUCGAGUGGCGAACGGGUGAGUAACACGUGGGUGAUCUGCCCUGCACUUCGGGAUAAGCCUGGGAAACUGGGUCUAAUACCGGAUAGGAGCCAUUUUUAGUGUGAUGGUUGGAAAGUUUUUUCGGUGUAGGAUGAGCUCGCGGCCUAUCAGCUUGUUGGUGGGGUAAUGGCCUACCAAGGCGGCGACGGGUAGCCGGCCUGAGAGGGUGGACGGCCACAUUGGGACUGAGAUACGGCCCAGACUCCGAAGGGAGGCAGCAGUGGGGAAUAUUGCACAAUGGGCGCAAGCCUGAUGAAGCGACGCCGCGUGGGGGAUGACGGCCUUCGGGUUGUAAACUCCUUUCGCUAGGGACGAAGCGUUUUGUGACGGUACCUAGAUAAGAAGCACCGGCUAACUACGUG